rnacentral:ncRNA from 1 species
UGGAUAGGCUGCGGGUAUCCUCCUAAUCAUCCAGUACUUUUUCAAAAAUCUACCUAGACUAUAUAGUCUUGUAGUAUUGGAAAGUGGAUGAUUGAGGAUUGAGAUUAUACCGCUUGAACCUGAUCAGCGCUCAUACCUGCGUAGGGAAGCCUCCAGUGUCGCCG